rnacentral:piRNA from 1 species
UGCUUGACUAUUUAAAGAGAUAGGAAGUU